UACAGAGGUCCCGAGCGUUGUUCGGAUUCACUGGGCGUAAAGGGUGCGCAGGUGGCUUGGCAAGUUUGAUGUGAAAGCUCAGGGCUUAACCCUGAAAUGGCAUUGAAUACUGUUGAGCUGGAGGUUUGGAGGGGGGACUGGAAUUCUUGGUGUAGCAGUGAAAUGCGUAGAUAUCGAGAGGAACACCAGUGGCGAAGGCGAGUCCCUGGACAGGUCCUGACGCUGAGGCACGAAGGCUAGGGGAGAAAGCAGG
rnacentral:rRNA from 1 species